GUGCUCCCUUCGUAGCACAUACACUAAAAUUGGAGCAGCACACAAAUUAGCAUGGUCCUUGCACAAGGAUGUCAUGCGUGUUCGUGAAGCAUUUCAUAAUUUU